rnacentral:rRNA from 1 species
GAUGAACGCUGGCGGCGUGCCUAAUACAUGCCAGUAGAACGCUGAAGGAAGGAGCUUGCUCUUUCCGGAUGAGUUGCGAACGGGUGAGUAACGCGUAGGUAACCUGCCUGGUAGCGGGGGAUAACUAUUGGAAACGAUAGCUAAUACCGCAUAACAGUAGAUGUUGCAUGAUAUCUACUUAAAAGGUGCAAUUGCACCACUACCAGAUGGACCUGCGUUGUAUUAGCUAGUUGGUGAGGUAACGGCUCACCAGGGCGACGAUACAUAGCCGACCUGAGAGGGUGAUCGGCCACACUGGGACUGAGACACGGCCCAGAGUCCUACGGGAGGCAGCAGUAGGGAAUCUUCGGCAAUGGACGGAAGUCUGACCGAGCAACGCCGCGUGAGUGAAGAAGGUUUUCGGAUCGUAAAGCUCUGUUGUAAGAGAAGAACGAGUGUGAGAGUGGAAAGUUCACACUGUGACGGUAUCUUACCAGAAAGGGACGGCUAACUACGUG